rnacentral:rRNA from 1 species
CNCUUUCAACAACGGAUCUCUUGGCUCUCGCAUCGAUGAAGAACGCAGCGAAAUGCGAUAAGUAGUGUGAAUUGCAGAAGUAAUGNGAAUCAUCGAAUCUUUGAACGCAAAUUGCNCUCUNUGGUAUUCCGGGGAGUAUGCCUGUUUGAGGGUCGCU